UUUAGCCCGGAUCGCAGCGGAAAUCCUUUUUUGCGAAGCAAAAAAGAUUGCAGCAGAGAGCCGG
rnacentral:sRNA from 1 species